CAGCAAAUAAUGUUACUGUUUUGAUUUCAUAAUAAUCAGGGUGAGCUACAAGUUCAUUAUGAAAAGGUAAUUCAUGCGUGCCUAGACCUAUUUCUUUACCUAGGUCCAGUCUCUAAUUGCUGGUGAGAAAU
ensembl:snoRNA SNORA72 Small nucleolar RNA SNORA72